rnacentral:rRNA from 1 species
ACACAUGCAAGUCGAACGCGAAAGCCCCUUCGGGGGUAAGUAGAGUGGCGUCCGGGUGAGUAACACGUGGGUAAUCUACCUUCGGGAGGGGAAUAACCCAGGGAAACUUGGGCUAAUACCGCAUAAUGCAGCGGCACCUAAUGGUGAUUAGUUGUUAAAGCGGGGGAUCGCAAGACCUCGCGCCUGAAGAGGAGCCUGCGGCAGAUUAGCUAGUUGGUGAGGUAAUGGCUCACCAAGGCUUCGAUCUGUAGCUGGUCUGAGAGGACGGCCAGCCACACUGGCACUGACACACGGGCCAGACUCCUACGGGAGGCAGCAGUGGGGAAUUUUGGGCAAUGGGCGAAAGCCUGACCCAGCAACGCCGCGUGAGGGAGGAAAUCCUUCGGGAUGUAAACCUCACAAGCAAGGGAAGAGAGCUGCGGGCUGAAUAAUCCCGCGGUGCGACGGUACCUUGCGUAAGCCACGGCUAACUACGUGCCAGCAGCCGCGGUAAUACGUAGGUGGCAAGCGUUGUUCGGAAUUAUUGGGCGUAAAGGGCGCGUAGGCGGCUUGUUAAGUCGGCUGUGAAAGCCCGGGGCUCAACCCCGGAGGGUCAGCCGAUACUGGCAGGCUAGAGUACG